UCAAAUGGGAGGCUGCAAAAGCUGCAAUGCUUGGAAAUUCAUUUCAAAGGAAGCCUACAAUCUUGAGAAAUGGGGGUACUCCACCAGUGGUUAAACCAAAACGAAGACCAUCUUUACAAUAUGGUGAUAAGUGCUAGCGUUCCUCGCGCAGCAUGUCUGUUAGUCCUACUCCUGAACGUGUUCGUGUCAGGGGCGGUCGCCAGCAUUUAACGCCAUAGCAUCCACUUUUGAGAAGCCUAAAGAUAGGAACCUUUCAACCCCACCUCCAAUUGUGAGAAAAGUGUAUCCAAAAUCAGGGACAGCAAACUUGAAUACUCUUUCUCUUGGUCUUGGAUCUAAGUCUUCAGCCAUAGCUCGGCUUACUUCUAGUUUUGAAAUGCCUUCAGCACGGGGAAAGUUGAUACCUCAGUCGCUUAGAGUGACUUCCAAUACACUCAAAUCAAACCCAAAAAGAAGUGAUAGUGAGGAUUCUAUGAGCAGCGGAUUAGAAUCUCUUACAGAGGAAGAUGCAAAAGAAGGUGAAGCUGACGAUGAUGAAGGACUCCCAGUUUAUCCGUAUGGUAGCGUUAACACAGCUUCUAGCAAUCCAGUACCAGACAACGAGAGGCUUAUCUGUCGGCAACAGAGUUCAAAGAAAAACUUGGCAUGACGAAGACGAAUCUUACAAGUUGCCGAAAUGAAAACAAAACAAACUCAAAGUGACCGUUCAAUUGUUCUGAGGUUUACAUUAUACUUUGCCUCGUGUUGAUUCAAUGCAGUUCAAGUUGCAAGUAGAAGGAAACUUUGCCUGUCACUGUCUACAUAUUUUUUAACUUCCACAUUGUUGUCUUUGCUCUUUUUCUUAUACACCUCAGAUAUGCUAUCUAUUCUGUAGUGAUAAACUGGCAUGGAUUGAAAGGGACAGCAUCAGUGUUUUUUAACAUAGCUGCUUCUGCUCCUCCCAAGAUGGAUUUCAUGAUGUAGAGAGAAACUGGAGAUUUUCCACCAUUCUCCACCUUUAUUUGUAGUGGUUUGAUGAUGUGCAGAGUUUUUUUCU